rnacentral:rRNA from 1 species
AUGAGGCGGAGCCAGAUGAUGGACCCUGCGAGGGCGUCGCACUGGGCCUUCUUCGAGAGCGUGAACGCCGCGGACCAGAGGAGCUUCGGCGAGGUGUUCAACAGCUUCCACGCGCUGAAGCUGGACUACGCCGAGCACUGUCGCGCGUCGCUCGUCGGGCCCGUGGCGCUCGCCGGCAAGGACGAGAUGGCCGGGCGAGGCGCCAACGCGCCCUUGCCGGACGCGGACGGCUGCCUCCGGCGGCUAGACGUGAAGCCGGCCGGCUCGGUGGUGUACGUCUCCUUCGGCACGCUGGCCAGCUUCUCGCCGGCGGAGCUGCACGAGCUCGCCCGCGGCCUCGACCUCUUAGGCACGAGCUUUCUGUGUGUUGGCGCCGAACCCUAG